rnacentral:tRNA from 1 species
UUCCUGGUAGCUCAGAUGGUAAAGAGUCUGCCUGCAAUGCAAGAGACCUGGGUUUGAUCCCCAGGUCAGGAAA